GACGAACGCUGGCGGCGUGCUUAACACAUGCAAGUCGAACGGUAAGGCCCUUCGGGGUACACGAGUGGCGAACGGGUGAGUAACACGUGGGUGAUCUGCCCUGCACUUCGGGAUAAGCCUGGGAAACUGGGUCUAAUACCGGAUAGGACUCCGGACUGCAUGGUCUGGGGUGGAAAGCUUUUGCGGUGUGGGAUGGGCCCGCGGCCUAUCAGCUUGUUGGUGGGGUGAUGGCCUACCAAGGCGACGACGGGUAGCCGGCCUGAGAGGGUGACCGGACACACUGGGACUGAGAUACAGCCCAGACUCCUUCGGGAGGCAGCAGUGGGGAAUAUUGCACAAUGGGAGCAGGCCUGAUGCAGCGACGCCGCGUGUGGGAUGACGGCGUUCGGGUUGUAAACCUCUUUCAGCAUCGACGAAGCGAAAGUGACGGUAGGUGCAGAAGAAGGACCGGCCAACUACGUGCCAGCCGCCGCCGUAA
rnacentral:rRNA from 1 species